rnacentral:rRNA from 1 species
UGGGGAAUAUUGGACAAUGGGGGCAACCCUGAUCCAGCCAUGCCGCGUGGGUGAAGAAGGCCUUCGGGUUGUAAAGCCCUUUUGUACGGGAAGAAAAGCUUUCGGUGAAUAUCCGGGAGUCAUGACGGUACCGUAAGAAUAAGCACCGGCUAACUUCGUGCCAGCAGCCGCGGUAAUACGAAGGGUGCAAGCGUUACUCGGAAUUACUGGGCGUAAAGCGUGCGUAGGUGGUUUGUUAAGUCUGAUGUGAAAUCCCCGGGCUCAACCUGGGAAUGGCAUUGGAUACUGGCAGGCUAGAGUGCGGUAGAGGGUGGUGGAAUUCCCGGUGUAGCAGUGAAAUGCGUAGAGAUCGGGAGGAACAUCUGUGGCGAAGGCGGCCACCUGGACCAGCACUGACACUGAGGCACGAAAGCGUGGGGAGCAAACAGGAUUAGAUACCCCCGUAGUCC